AUUGAACGCUGGCGGCAGGCCUAACACAUGCAAGUCGAACGAGUGGCGGACGGGUGAGUAAUGUCUGGGAAACUGCCCGAUGGAGGGGGAUAACUACUGGAACCGGUACCUAAUACCGCAUACAUCCGGUUGUCCCCAGAGGGGAUUAGCUAGUAGGUGGGGUAAUGGCUCACCUAGGCGACGAUCCCUAGCUGGUCUGAGAGGAUGACCAGCCACACUGGAACUGAGACACGGUCCAGACUCCUACGGGAGGCAGCAGUGGGGAAUAUUGCACAAUGGGCGCAAGCCUGAUGCAGCCAUGCCGCGUGUAUGAAGAAGGCCUUCGGGUUGUAAAGUACUUUCAGCGAGGAGGCGUUACUCGCAGAAGAAGCACCGGCUAACUCCGUGCCAGCCGCCGCGGUAAUUC
rnacentral:rRNA from 1 species